GCAUCCUGACUGUGAUAUGUGUCUUUCCACAGAUUAACAGGGUACAUUUGACUGAUCUGAAUGAAUAAGCUGGUAUUUCCUCCACCUCUCAUUGCUCCAUGUGCAUCCCUCUUGAAGCUGCUUAAUUGGUCAAAAGGGAUAUUCCUUGACAAUGGACCAUUCUUCAGUCAGGUGCGUACAAGUAACUGCAUGUACUUAAACUAGAUCAUAUCACAUCUGUUUUUGGAGUUCCUUGGUGACUUGUGACUUAUUUCUGGUUCUUUAGACCAUAAUGUAAGUUAUGUGAAGUCCCAAAUCUAGUAUCUGAUUCUCUGAUGAUUCUGCAGAAUGUGAAAGAAUAUCUGACUGA
rnacentral:snRNA from 1 species